AAAAGUAUAGCUGGGUCAUAUAGUGGUUCCAUUCCUACCUUUUUGAGGAAUCUCCACACUCUUUUCCAAAGUAGUUGUACUAAUUUGCAGUCCUGCCAACAAU
rnacentral:pre_miRNA from 1 species